rnacentral:rRNA from 1 species
CCUACGGGAGGCUGCAGUGGGGAAUAUUGCACAAUGGGCGCAAGCCUGAUGCAGCCAUGCCGCGUGUAUGAAGAAGGCCUUCGGGUUGUAAAGUACUUUCAGUCGUGAGGAAGGUGUUAAGGUUAAUAACCUUAGCAAUUGACGUUAGCGACAGAAGAAGCACCGGCUAACUCCGUGCCAGCAGCCGCGGUAAUACGGAGGGUGCGAGCGUUAAUCGGAAUUACUGGGCGUAAAGGGCACGCAGGCGGUUAAUUAGUUUGGUGUGAAAUCCCCGGGGUUAACCUGGGGAAUGCAUUCAAGAAUGGUUUGGUAGAGUCUUGGUGGGGGGGGUAGAAUUCCAUGUGUAGCGGUGAAAUGCGUAGAGAUGUGGAGGAAUACCGGUGGCGAAGGCGGCCCCCUGGACAAAGACUGACGCUCAUGUGCGAAAGCGUGGGGAGCAAACAGGAUUAGAUACCCGAGUAGUC